GGGAUCCUUUCCAUAAUGUUGUCAGACACUUAGAAUAUUAAUCUGAGCCUGUCAGGGGCGAAACAAGGCCUUCUGUGAAGGUAAAUACAAGCUGGACAGUUGUCCUAUUAACUUACGUUAUAGCUUGUUUACUCUGCUG